UGUUCAUGAAUCCGACCCAAUGGAUAUCCAUUCACCCGAUUAACAAAUGAGUACACCAUACGUUUCAAACAUUCAGAAACCCUAAUCUUCCAGCCUCCAUCGCCGUUCUUCCAUCAGUCAAGCAAAUCAGAUGGUAGGUUUUCUGAUCUUCACCUAUGAUUUUUAUUGUUAACCCUUUCCUUUUCGAUUCCUAAGAAUCCCAUCACAACCCUAAAUGCAAACUAACUUCUGCUCAUCGAUGAAUCAUUCUGUUUUCGAUUGAUUUUAUCUUCACUGUUGCACCAUCCUAUUCUGGCUCAGGUGAUCCAUCUUCGUUUCAUUCUUAGGGUUACAGUUCCUCCUCUGCAAGGGAUUCUCUUAUAGUCUUCCAUCGUCUUCAUACAUAAGAAAUCUUCACUUCUAAUGUCUUUCUCACCAGGGUUAUGGAAUUGGGAUUAUUCAUACAAUAAUAAGCUAGCUCAUAUUCAUAAGCUUAAGAAGACAGAAGACAUGAUCUUAAUGGUUCUUCAGAUAUUUACUGUUGGGCGCUCCUGAAGAAUUUGAUCAAAUUUAUGAACCACUUGCUCUACAUCCUGUUAUAAUUCUUUCAAGUGUUACCUUAAGGCUGUCAGAAAACUUUGCUCAAAGCAUACUAUAUAUUUAAUGUUUGCAGAUGAAAUACAAAGUGUAUUAGAAUGACCAGGAAGAAUGUUGGCAUGUGACUGGGAAGGUGUACGCCCGAUGUCGUUGUUUGAUGCUAUUAUACAUUUUGCUGGAUUGAAGGCUGUUGGCGAAAGUGUGCAGAAGCCAUUGAAGUAUUACGACAAAGUUGCCGUCUUGGCUCCGAGUACUCCCCGACAACUGAACCAUUUUAGCUUUAUCUACCCCUCACAGCCGAAAGCACUGGUGCAAUUCUACAUGUAAGAUCUAUAUAUUUAAUUAGAAAAAAUUACAAUAGAGUGGCAGGUAAGCAUGCAACAAGUUGCGCUGCAACCCGAUGUGUCGGCUCCGAUGUACCCGAUGUUUCUGUUACCUGCUGUUUUGUCUCUUGUGGAUAUUAUCAUCGUCUCAAUUAAUUGACGAUUGUUGAAAAUCCAUCUUCGAGUUCGUUAGACCCUACAAACACAGUGCACAUUCAAACAACCGUAGAUCCACUAAUAUCGAAAAAACCGUCUGAAAAUGAUCAAACUACUGAAACAGUAAAAACCGAACCUACCAUCACUCAAGUGAUUGCCAAGAAGCCUUCGAAUAAAAUAGAGAUUCCGUUAAAAUGUAUAUCGAGCAAUCUAACUAAAACGUGUCCAGCAGACUACUACCCGAAAAAAUUCAAACCACAAGAUGAUGAAUUCACAUCGGAUGCGUCACAAAACUGCCCGGAGUACUUUCGUUGGAUUCACGAAGAUUUGAAACCGUGGAAAGAAACAGGGAUAACCGAAGAGAUGGUGUUGAGUGCAAAACGAACAACUAAUUUUCGUUUAGUGAUAUUAAACGGACGGGCUUAUGUGGAGUCGUAUGAGAAAUCGUUUCAGUCUAAAGAUGUGUUUACGCUAUGGAUGGGGGAUCUUGCAGUUGUUACGAAGGUAUCCUGGGAAGUUACCGGAUCUGGACCUUAUGUUUAACUGUGUUGACUGGCCCGUUAUCUUGAAGUACUAUAGUGGGCCCGAUGCGGUUGCUCCAGCGCCUUUGUGUUCGUUACUGCAGUGAUGAUUCUACUUUGGAUAUUGUUUUUCCGGAUUGGUCGUUUUGGGGGUGGUAAGUUCGUCACCGAAUGAUUUUCGUCCCCUGAGAUUUAGCCAGUUAUGCUAUUUUCGUCACCGAAAAUGGCAUGGAAAAUAUGUUGGGAACCAUUUUGAGUCAGUGGACAGAGGGAGGACACAUCAGGUCAUUUUAACAUAUUCGUUGGUGAUCUAAGCCCUGAGGUUACUGAUGCUAUGUUAUACACAUGUUUCUCUGUGUAUAGCAGCUGCUCGGAUGCAAGGGUUAUGUGGGAUCAGAAAACUGGACGUUCACGUGGUUUUGGGUUUGUUUCUUUUCGAGACCAACAGGAUGCUCAAAGUGCUAUAAAUGACUUAAUGGGGAAGUGGCUUGGAAGUAGGCAGAUACGCUGCAAUUGGGGCACAAAAGGUGCUGGUAUUGGUGAUGAAAAACAGGCUUCAGAUUCAAAAAGUGUAGUGGAGCUAACAAACGGGUCUUCA